rnacentral:rRNA from 1 species
GUGGGGAAUAUUGGACAAUGGGCGAAAGCCUGAUCCAGCAAUGCCGCGUGAGUGAUGAAGGCCCUCGGGUUGUAAAGCUCUGUCGGGAGGGACGAACGGUCUCGGGUAAUGCCGAGGAUUGACGGUACCUCCAAAGGAAGCACCGGCUAACUCUGUGCCAGCAGCCGCGGUAAUACAGAGGGUGCAAGCGUUGUUCGGAAUUACUGGGCGUAAAGCGCGUGUAGGCGGCGUCGUAAGUCGGAUGUGAAAGCCCUCGGCUCAACCGAGGAAGUGCAUCCGAUACUGCGGUGCUUGAGUGUCGGAGGGGGUGGCGGAAUUCCCGGUGUAGAGGUGAAAUUCGUAGAUAUCGGGAGGAACACCUGUGGCGAAGGCGGCCACCUGGACGACAACUGACGCUGAGACGCGAAAGCGUGGGUAGCAAACAGGAUUAGAAACCCCAGUAGUCC